rnacentral:misc_RNA from 1 species
GCAUAUUUGAGAUAAAAUAAAUGGUAGCCUCCAAGAAAAUGUUGAAAAAUUGAUCAAUAAGAUCCCGAUUCAAAUGUUUCAGUACAUUGUGUAGAACUCUCAUGAUAACAGCUGCCGUUGACCAACUUGCACUUUUCAAGCUGAGCUUCAUUAAAGAAGAAGGUGAAGGAUCCCCACUCAAGUCUUUGACCUCCAUCUUAUGUCCCAUAGAAGAAAGACCAUUAAAAAUCGAAAUUU